UCAGUCAGUGCUCUCAAGCUUCUAGAGCAAUAAAGGAAGACAGUAGAAUGGGAAGACAUCUUCACCAGCCAGACAAGAUGCCCUGUUACUCACGUAACUUUGUGAUAAUCUGAGAAGUUACUGAAGUGGAGUUCUCCCAGUCAUUUGGAGCAAAAAGAAUAGAAAAGGAGACAACAGCAACAAAUUGUUGGAAACUGGAAAGCUGAAAAGCAAUGGUAACUAAUUUAGCAGACCAGAGAGAGCUGGGGAAAGCAGAGCAGCAACCAAAUUUACAUCACAGAAGCUGCAAAAGGAAUCAGUGACAAGGUCACCUAUGGAGGUCACAGAACUCUGGCAGCCAGACUGGAACCCUUCAGACAAGAGAUUGUCUAAAAAAUAUGACAAGGACAAAAGAAAAGACCUAAAAAUGCAGAUGGGUGUAUCCAAGUAACA